rnacentral:rRNA from 1 species
GAUGAACGCUGGCGGCGUGCCUAACACAUGCAAGUCGAACGCAGUGGGGACGGGUGAGUAACACGUGGGUAACCUCCCAUCAGAGGGGAUAACACUUGGAUACAGGUGCUAAAACCGAUAUUGAUGGAUGGACAUGCGGUGCAUUAGCUAGUCGGUGGGGUAACGGCUCACCAAGGCUACGAUGCGUAGCCGACCGGAGAGGGUGAUCAGCCACACUGGAACUGAGACACGGCCCAGACUCCUACGGGAGGCAGCAGUAGGGAAUCUUCGGCAAUGGACGAAAGGCUGACCGAGCAACGCCGCGUGAGUGAAGAAGGUUUUCGGAUCGUAAAACUCUGUUGUUAGGGAAGCGGUAUCUAACCAGAAAGCCACGGCUAACUACGUGCCAGCAGCCGCGGUAAUAC